rnacentral:tRNA from 1 species
GCGGCUCUGCCCGAUUGGUCAGGGACCAGCCUUCCAAGCUGAGGAAGCGGGUUCGAUUCCCGCGGGCCGCUCCA